ACGCGAGCUGGGUUCAGAACGUCGUGAGACAGUUCGGUCCCUAUCUGUCGUGGGCGCAGGAAAUUUGAGAGGAGCUGUCCUUAGUACGAGAGGACCGGGAUGGACGCACCGCUGGUGCACCAGUUGUUCCGCCAGGAGCACAGCUGGGUAGCUAUGUGCGGCCGGGAUAAGCGCUGAAAGCAUCUAAGCGUGAAGCCCCCCUCAAGAUGAGAUUUCCCACAGCAUAAGCUGGUAAGACCCCUUAAAGAUGAUGAGGUAGAUAGGUUCGGGGUGGAAGCGUGGCAACACGCGGAGCUGACGAAUACUAAUCGGUCGAGGGCUUAACCAA
rnacentral:rRNA from 1 species